rnacentral:rRNA from 1 species
AUUUAUCGGAGAGUUUGAUCCUGGCUCAGGACGAACGCUGGCGGCGUGCCUAAUACAUGCAAGUCGAGCGGACAGAUGGGAGCUUGCUCCCUGAUGUUAGCGGCGGACGGGUGAGUAACACGUGGGUAACCUGCCUGUAAGACUGGGAUAACUCCGGGAAACCGGGGCUAAUACCGGAUGCUUGUUUGAACCGCAUGGUUCAGACAUAAAAGGUGGCUUCGGCUACCACUUACAGAUGGACCCGCGGCGCAUUAGCUAGUUGGUGAGGUAACGGCUCACCAAGGCGACGAUGCGUAGCCGACCUGAGAGGGUGAUCGGCCACACUGGGACUGAGACACGGCCCAGACUCCUACGGGAGGCAGCAGUAGGGAAUC